rnacentral:rRNA from 1 species
UACGUAGGGCGCGAGCGUUGUCCGGAAUUAUUGGGCGUAAAGAGCUCGUAGGCGGCCUGUUGCGUCCGCUGUGAAAUCCCAGGGCUCAACCCUGGGCGUGCAGUGGAUACGGGCAGACUAGAGGUAUGCAGGGGAGAACGGAAUUCCUGGUGUAGCGGUGAAAUGCGCAGAUAUCAGGAGGAACACCGGUGGCGAAGGCGGUUCUCUGGGCAUUACCUGACGCUGAGGAGCGAAAGUGUGGGGAGCGAACAGG